UAAGAAUAUUCCGCAAUGGACGAAAGUCUGACGGAGCGACGCCGCGUGGAUGAAGAAGGCCGAAAGGUUGUAAAAUCCUUUUGUCGGGGAAGAAUAAGCGUGGGAGGGAAUGCCCGCGUGAUGACAUGAACCGGCGAAUAAGCCCCGGCUAACUACGUGCCAGCAGCCGCGGUAACACGUAGGGGGCAAGCGUUGUUCGGAAUUACUGGGCGUAAAGGGCAUGUAGGCGGUUUUGUAAGCCUGGCGUGAAAUUCUGCAGCUUAACUGUAGGACUGCGCUGGGAACUGCGAGACUGGAGUCACGGAGAGGGAGCCAGAAUUCCAGGUGUAGGGGUGAAAUCUGUAGAUAUCUGGAAGAAUACCAAUGGCGAAGGCAGGCUUCUGGCCGAUGACUGACGCUGAGGUGCGAAAGCGUGGGUAGCAAAC
rnacentral:rRNA from 1 species